CCCUAUUAUUUUUAUUGUAAAUUAAAUUAAACUAGAGUAUUAAUAGAUAAAUCUUAAAACUUAAAGAAUUUGGCGGUAUUAUAGUCUAUUUAGAGGAAUCUGUUAUGUAAUCGAUAAUCCGCGUUAAACCUUACUUGUAUUAAUUCUUGUAUAUCGCUGUUUAUGAAUAUAUUUUAAGAUAAUUUUCUAAAUAUUAAAGUAAUUAAGAUUUCAAGUCAAGGUGCAGUAAUAUAUAAGUUGAAUAAUGGAUUACAAUAAAUUAUAUUUAAAAUGGAAAAUUAAUUUAAAAAUAAUUUAAAGGUGGAUUUAAAGGUAAUUUUAUGAAGAUUAUUAAAAUGAUUGUUAGCUCUAUAAUAUGCACACAUCGCCCGUCAUUCUCGUUAUUAAGAUGAGAUAAGUC
rnacentral:rRNA from 1 species